rnacentral:rRNA from 1 species
GUUUGGAUGAGCUGUGGGUAGCGGAGAAAUUCCAAUCGAACUUGGAGAUAGCUGGUUCUCUCCGAAAUAGCUUUAGGGCUAGCCUCGUUGUGAGUUUACUGGAGGUAGAGCACUGUUUGGACUAGGGGCCCAUCUCGGGUUACCGAAUUCAGACAAACUCCGAAUGCCAGAUAAAUAUCAACGGGAGUCAGACUGCGGGUGAUAAGGUUCGUAGUCGAAAGGGAAACAGCCCAGACCGCCAGCUAAGGUCCCAAAUUGUAUGUUAAGUGGAAAAGGAUGUGAUGAUGCACAGACAACCAGGAUGUUGGCUUAGAAGCAGCCACCAUUUAAAGAGUGCGUAAUAGCUCACUGGUCGAGAGACUCUGCGCCGAAAAUGUCCGGGGCUAAAGUAUGAAACCGAAGUCGUGUCAUAUGCAGCAAUGUAUAUGGGUAGGGGAGCGUUCUCAUCGGAUUGAAGCAGUACCGUAAGGAGUUGUGGACUGGUGAGAAGUGAGAAUGUCGGUAUGAGUAGCGAAAAGAAUGGUGAGAAUCCAUUCCACCGAAAGCCUAAGGGUUCCUGAGCAACGAUCGUCGUCUCAGGGUAAGUCGGGACCUAAGCCGAGGCGGAAAAGCGUAGGCGAUGGACAACAGGUUGAAAUUCCUGUACCGGUGUGAAUCGUUUGAUCGAAGGAGUGACACAGUAAGGUAGGUCAGCACGCGAUUGGAAGUGCGUGUUUAAGCAUGUAGGUUGAGUUAUAGGCAAAUCCGUAACUCUAAAAGCUGAGAUGUGAUGACGAGCUGUUUACAGCGAAGUGAUUGAUCCUACACUGUCGAGAAAAGCUUCUAGGUAGAGACACAUCGCCCGUACCAAAACCGACACAGGUAGGCGGGGAGAGAAUCCUAAGGUGCGCGGGAAAACCCUCGUUAAGGAACUCGGCAAAAUGCCUCCGUAACUUCGGGAAAAGGAGGACUCAUGUAGUGUGAAGGGCAGUAACGCGUGGAGCAUGAAUGAGUGGCACAAGAGAGGCGCAAGCGACUGUUUACCACAAACACAGGUGCCUGCUAAAGCGAAAGCUGAUGUAUAGGUGCUGACACCUGCCCGGUGCUGGAAGGUUAAGAGGAGGGGUUAGACUUUGGUCGAAGCUCUGAAUUGAAGCCCCAGUAAACGGCGGCCGUAACUAUAACGGUCCUAAGGUAGCGAAAUUCCUUGUCGGGUAAGUUCCG